GACGAACGCUGGCGGCGUGCUUAACACAUGCAAGUCGAACGGAAAGGCCCUGCUUGCAGGGUGCUCGAGUGGCGAACGGGUGAGUAACACGUGGGUGAUCUGCCCCUUACUUUGGGAUAAGCCUGGGAAACUGGGUCUAAUACUGGAUAGGACCAUGCUGUAGGUGGUGUGGUGGAAAGAUUAGUUUCGGUAAGGGAUGAGCUCGCGGCCUAUCAGCUUGUUGGUGGGGUAAUGGCCUACCAAGGCGUCGACGGGUAGCCGGCCUGAGAGGGUGGACGGCCACAUGGGGGCUGAGAUACGGCCCAGACUCCUACGGGAGGCAGCAGUGGGGAAGAUUGCACAAUGGGCGCAAGCCUGAUGCAGCGACGCCGCGUGGGGGAUGACGGCCUUCGGGUUGUAAACUCCUUUCAGCCAUGACGAAGCCCUUGUGGUGACGGUAGUGGUAGAAGAAGCACCGGCUAACUACGUG
rnacentral:rRNA from 1 species